rnacentral:rRNA from 1 species
UACGGGGGGGGGCAAGCGUUGUUCGGAAUUACUGGGCGUAAAGGGCGCGUAGGCGGUCGUGACAAGUCACUUGUGAAAUCUCCGGGCUUAACUCGGAACGGUCAAGUGAUACUGUCGGACUAGAGUACAGAAGGGGCAACUGGAAUUCUCGGUGUAGCGGUGAAAUGCGUAGAUAUCGAGAGGAACACCUGCGGCGAAGGCGGGUUGCUGGGCUGAUACUGACGCUGAGGCGCGAAAGCCAGGGGAGCGAACGGG